AUAAAUGUUCCGCAUGUUCCCAGUUCGAACACCAAAAAUACAUCCCAAGACAAUAAAUGUUUAUCAGAUGUAUACAGUGUAGUCAUUUCUUCCCUAUGUUCGCAGUUGGAACACCAAAAAUACAUGGCAAGCCAAUUGUUCAGUAUACAUACCACAUCAAUUCUAAUGCUGUUGAAAAAUGAUAGGUACGAAUGGGAAAUGCAAAUAGCAAGGCGCCGGAAGAGAAAAGAGUGUCAGAUGUGCUUGUACCCCCUCUUGCUGACCUACAUUCACAAGGGAGCCAAAGUACGUUAGAAUAACAUAAAUGAGUCAGAUGUCAAGGGUGCCCAACAAUCAUUGUAUCUCGCUAAUGUGUUCUAGGCCAUAAUGUUGACGAAAGUGUUGAUGAAUACAACCCAGCAAUAAUUCCCGUAGCUGACAAUGUUGACAAUUAUCAAAUGACUCCAGGUAUUGGAGUCUGUAAAUACCCCUAUCUGUUGUAUCAUAUAGUUUUAACAUGAUCAAUCGUGCCUAACAGACUUGGAAGCACACAAGGAAACAGAUGGAACUGGCAUGCCACGGAUAGAGCAGGACGAGCUUGCAAACCUAACCAAACACCCUCUUUCUGAUAUAACAAUUGCUGAUCAGCCUGGGCAUGCGAGUUUAGUAUGUGGGUUCCAUAUUUAAACACACUAUCUACCCUAUUCGGUUAGCAGGAAACUGCCUCAUUCUGUACUGGUUUUGUUUUAUAGACAACCCAUCAAUCUCCUUCUGUAGCCCUGAUGUUGCUUCGUUCCCUGAUCCGAGUACUCUCACAGCUAUUUUUGCCUGCGGCCUUGCAGUAAGUUCAUUUGGUAUGAUCUGACACGUGCAUCAUGGACAGUGAUCAAACGUCUCUAUGAAUGUACAUGUUGACUAAUUCUCAUCAAGAUUUGUUGUUUAUACAUCGUGCAGACAAUAAUGUGCCUUCAUUCCCGGAUAGGAGUACUCUUGCAUCACUUUAUGCCGCAUGUCACUUUAUGCCUUUCAUAUGGCCAGAUUUGUGCUUAAAGGGAUGCAUGUUCAUGUAUUAGCCUAACCGACAUAUUUUCUUUUGUUCCUGUAGCCAGAGAGUCUGCCCACAAUGAUGUGUGUCUUAAUGCCCUUGGUUGUGGUGGUUCAGAGCUUGUGACAUCGUCUACCCCAACAUGUGAUGUAUACCCAACUCAUUCCGAAACAACAUGUGUUGUUGUGAAUGACCAAGUGAGUUAUAGCAUAACAAACGACAAAAGGGAGCAGAGAAACGCACGACGGCGAGCAACUUAUUGAAAGAAAAAGGAUGAACAGGUCAAGCUCCAAAAUGAAAAGCAGACUAUUUCCCGACCCCCUCUUGGUGAUAUCAUUAAUAUUGAUCAGCCUUCCGGUUCAAUACCAGGUGCGGGUGUUUAAAGUUAUGAGCUUACGGCGGUGACAAACCAAAUUUGGGAAUCAAAUAUUAGAAUACGCACUUUUAGCUUUGACUUACAAUAAUUGAUUCAAUAUGAAGUUAAAAACUGGAGUUUGAUAUAUGAACGGUCAAGAAAUGUCAUAUAUCGGAAUGCUUAAAAAAACAUCUGCAGUGUUAGAAAGAUGUAAAUGGAUUUAAAAAAAUAAAUUAGAUUUACCGGCACUCAAGAAGGUGAAUAAUAUGAUAGAUAGUUCUCGAUUUGUCGGAGAAAGAAACAAAUGUGGAGUAUGAAACAUUAACUAUCACAACGUCAGUAGAAAACAUUGAUAUGAAAUAGAUGUAUAGUACCGAAGAUGGGUAUAUUAUCAAUUGGGUCAAGUUCUCCAUUGGCACUGCAUGUAUUUUUUUCUCUCGUUGCAAUGGCAAAAUAGAAAAAUUUAUGUAAGCGGACUUGCCAAUGUUCACCAGAUCGACGCACCUCCCACCAUCCCGUACCACUGGUUUUAAACUACGUAUCGACAAAAAACCAGAUCGACGCACCAACGAGGACCCGAUCCGCUCCUCGUUUCCCACGUCCGUCCUGGAUCACGAGAACGCCGCCGCCGCUGCUGCCUCACAUACGUCGCCGGUGGCAGAUCACGAACAAUACCGUCGCGGAUCGGCAGGCCGCCGCCGCUUCAGGUACCCACACACCACGAUCCCGUCGUGGAUCAGCAGGCCGCCGCCGCCGCCAAGUCAGGUACCCACACACCAUGAUCCCAUCGUGGGUCAGCAAGACACCGCCGCCACCGCCUCGGGCAGCCACACGCCACAGAUCUCCGACGACGACGCCUACGGCGGCAAGCAGUGCAGGGCGUCUUCACUGAUCAGUUUUCAACCUUGCUUUCUUAAAGGUACGUAUGCUCAUGAUCUCUUAAAGAUCACGCAACGCUACAAAAGACAAUUGUCACCGGAUGGAGCCAUAUGCAACAGAGCCAUAUACGAUGGAGCCACCAGAUGGAGCCAUACGAAUAAAUGUUCCCCAUGUUCCCAGUUCGAACACCAAAAAUACAUCCCAAGACAAUAAAUGUUUAUCAGAUGUAUACAGUGUAGUCAUUUCUUCCCUAUGUUCGCAGUUGGAACACCAAAAAUACAUGGCAAGCCAAUUGUUCAGUAUACAUACCACAUCAAUUCUAAUGUUGUUGAAAAAUGAUAGGUACGAAUGGGAAAUGCAAAUAGCAAGGCGCCGGAAGAGAAAAGAGUGCCAGAUGUGCUUGUACCCCCUCUUGCUGACCUACAUUCACAAGGGAGCCAAGGUACGUUAGAAUAACAUAAAUGAGUCAGAUGUCAAGGGUGCCCAACAAUCAUUGUAUCUCGCUAAUGUGUUCCAGGCCAUAAUGUUGACGGAAG
rnacentral:lncRNA from 1 species